rnacentral:rRNA from 1 species
CCCAGACUCCUACGGGAGGCAGCAGUGGGGGAUAUUGCACAAUGGGGGAAACCCUGAUGCAGCGACGCCGCGUGUGGGAAGACGGUCCUCUGGAUUGUAAACCACUGUCCCCAGGGACGAAGAUGACGGUACCUGGGGAGGAAGCUCCGGCUAACUACGUGCCAGCAGCCGCGGUAAUACGUAGGGGGCAAGCGUUAUCCGGAUUUACUGGGUGUAAAGGGAGCGUAGACGGCAGCGCAAGUCUGGAGUGAAAUGCCGGGGCCCAACCCCGGAACUGCUUUGGAAACUGUGCAGCUCGAGUGCAGGAGAGGUAAGCGGAAUUCCUAGUGUAGCGGUGAAAUGCGUAGAUAUCAGGAGGAACACCGGUGGCGAAGGCGGCCUGCUGGACUGCAACUGACGUUGAGGCCCGAAAGCGUGGGGAGCAAACAGGAUUAGAUACCCCUGUA